UGUGGGUCGUGGCCAGAUGGCUGGGUUGCUCCUCUGGGAAAACGUCUGAGGCUCUGAAGCAGUUCUGAACCUGUGGCCCGGAAACACUGAAGACUGCUAUGAAGGAGAUGGGAAGUGAACAAGCGUGUUCAGGGUGCACCUCGGGGAAGUCCGGUUGCAGGUGCUGAAUGACUGAGAUGAGAAACCAGCUCAUCGUGUCUGCUUCGUCUAACAAAAGAUUCYAGUAGCCCUGACAUGAGAAAAUGGAAAGCCAGCAGACCUGAUGUCUAGGUAAGCAAAGCAGCAGCUGAAAGACUUCUUCUAUUCUGAGAUCUUCAAUGUUGUAACUGCUACUGUCCUCAGCAGAAAAUACCAACCAUUCUCCUAUACAGAAAAGUUUUGAUAUAUGGGGCAAGACUGCCAGUGGCCACUGAGUUUGUGAAAGUAUAAAACAGGAAAAAAGUCUGCUGGAUGCUCAAUAGGAUGCCCAGUUCAGUGCUGUUGGACAACACCAAGAAUAAGCAGCUGCUCCUGUCCCCUUGGGUCUCCUCUCGAAGCUGGUCUGAGCUUCUGCACUGCUGGUCUCUGUACUGUGAUCACUGCAGUGUGAUCACUGCAGUCAUCUUCCUUGGACUUAGUCAAAGUCAUCGGGAGCAUCCAGCGAGCUAAAUGCCUCUCCCAGCUCCGUGUGUGAAUCUCUGUCUCUGUGUACCUGUGGGCAGCACCUUGCUUCAGCCUUACCUGGUGUAACAGUGAUCUCAGUGGAAGGCAUGAGUCGCKUCCAGAAUUCAUGAAUCACUGAGCCUGAUCCAAAGGAUGAAAUAACAGCGUUCUGGAUGAAUUACGAAAUGUAACAGAACACUAUAAUUUCAUUAUUUUUAAAUCCAUCUGUAGGUUAUUACAACAGGGUACAGUUCUAAAUGUGUUCUAGGAAGUGGCUUUUGGUUCUACAGAAAAAAUCUGAGAACCAGCUAAGCAAAUGUCAGCCUGAUUUAAUUCAAAAAGAAAAAUAACCUUCUAUCUUAUGUGCCAAACUUCAAAUAACACCGAACCCCUGAAAUUGCUGGUAGCUUCUUUAACUGCUUAGAGGAAGGGCAGUGGGGAAACUGGAACAGUUACUGUAAUUCAAUGAUGCAGGGAGCAGCUCUGCUUUAUUACUAAUGAGUGAUGAAAUUAGAUCUCUCAGCCUAGGAAGUUGGUUAUAUCAUGUUCCUCUCCUCAGACAAAAGGAAAGUGUGGGAGACACUGUUGGUUCUCCUGCGUCCUGGUUCUCCCGCCUCAUGGACCUCUUCAUUUCGGCCGUGCCAAGUGCGGUGGGAUGUCGGGUUUCUGUUUCAKCAGAUGAGUGGAAAUGACGCCCCAAGGAAACAGUGCCAGAAGUGUGAUGGGGAAAACAUAAUAAUAAAAAGGACCUUUCUUGAUAGUACUUUUCAACUGCUGUCAUGCCAGCCAUUUAUAAAAGGUCGCAGACAACUCCUGGAUGGUGAUGCUUUGGUUCCCUCCCGCGCAGAUUGGAACCAAACCUGGCGGUGACCAGGACUGACUCCAGGGAACCCAGCUUGGCUUCUGUGUAGCGACUGGGAGGACUGACUGUGCRGAACCCAGCUUGGCUUCCAUGUGGUGCCCAGGAGGACUGACUCCAGGGAACCUGGCUUGGCUUCCACGCGGGUGCAUUGGGAACGUGUCAUCUGCUGCAGGGCUGCCCCAGCGCCUCCYGCAAUCCGGCUCGGAAGCGCACAGAGGGAGUGCAGGGUCGUGCGCUCCUGCCAUCCCGAAAUGCUGCGCUCUGGGUCCCUGGGAAGUGGCUGCUCCUGACAUCCCUCUCUGGGAAAGGCUGUUGGGAGAGGGAGCACYGAGCACACUCAUCCGAGGAGGCUCCUAGCAUCCAAGGAGACUCCUAAGGAUGAACUAUGUGGGAAAGGGUCCUUAGCACCUUCAUUUGAAAAGAUGCAGCGCUCUUCUGCACGCAAGAUGCAGGUUAACCUCCACAGUGACAUUAAUAACCACUUCCCUGAUGCACAUUAUGGGCUUUACUGUGGGCUGUUAAUUUUGCAUAAUGGCUCUGUUGGUUGAUUACCACAGGCUGAACCGAUUGCCCUCUAACAUUUAACAUUCAAGCAGCAGUAAGUACCCCGGGACUCAGCUGAUGGCAUUUUAGAAAGAGCCAGACAGAUCACAUUGACUUGUGGCUGGAGCUGGCUCUUGUCCAACGAUAUCUGAGGGUUUUAGAUAGUGUUGCACGUCCCUCUAGCAUCUCUCUGUCUGUUUGAACCUCGCUAGCACUAGCACAGUCCCUAAUGGACUUUGAGAGCUCACAGAAUGUUUCCUUUUUUGGGCUGAAUUCUCCCUUUUAGUAAAGCUGUAUAGAUAGUGUCAGCAUCCUAAGGCAGCCUGGGUGCAUUAGCACUCACUCAGGCUCACACUGACAGCUUUUUACAAAUGUAAGUCCUCUGCCAGACUAAAACCAGGUACAGCUCAAAGAACUCUUAACUUCAUUGUGUAAAUUUGCUCUAAUUAUAGCUGAACAGUAUAUUUUAUCAUCUGCUGUUACAAAUUUGCUAGAAACACUUAAUUCAGAAGCCCAUCAUCCAAAAUUUAGUCAAAAAGCAAUUUAUUUUGAAACAAAUGCUUCCAGAUGCUUUCC